rnacentral:rRNA from 1 species
GGGGAAUUUUGGACAAUGGGGGCAACCCUGAUCCAGCCAUGCCGCGUGCAGGAUGAAGGCCUUCGGGUUGUAAACUGCUUUUGUACGGAACGAAAAGCUCUCCUUUAAUAAAGGGGGGUCAUGACGGUACCGUAAGAAUAAGCACCGGCUAACUACGUGCCAGCAGCCGCGGUAAUACGUAGGGUGCAAGCGUUAAUCGGAAUUACUGGGCGUAAAGCGUGCGCAGGCGGUUUUGUAAGACAGAGGUGAAAUCCCCGGGCUCAACCUGGGAACUGCCUUUGUGACUGCAAGGCUGGAGUGCGGCAGAGGGGGAUGGAAUUCCGCGUGUAGCAGUGAAAUGCGUAGAUAUGCGGAGGAACACCGAUGGCGAAGGCAAUCCCCUGGGCCUGCACUGACGCUCAUGCACGAAAGCGUGGGGAGCAAAC